rnacentral:rRNA from 1 species
CAGGCCUCACACAUGCAAGUCGCACGGUGGCAGCAAUGUCAUCGUGGCGCACGGGUGCGUCACACGUCGCUCACCUCCCCAGCACUGGGGGCUCGCCCGCCGAAAGGCGGAUUCACACCGCAUCACAUCUCCUGGUGGCAUCACUCGUUGCUUAAAUCUACGGAGGUUCUGGAUGGGGCUGCGGGUCAUUAGCUAGUUGGUAAGGUAACGGCUUACCAAGGCGCAGAUGACUAGGGGAGCUGAUAGGCUGGUCCCCCACACGGGCACUGAGAUACGGGCCCGACUCCUACGGGAGGCAGCAGUAGGGAAUAUUGGGCAAUGGGCGAGAGCCUGACCCAGCCAUGCCGCGUGCAGGAAGAAGGCUUUCUGAGUCGUAAACUGCUUUUGAUAGGGAAGAAUAAGCACUACGUGUAGUGUGAUGACGGUACCUACAGAAUAAGCACCGGCUAACUCCGUGCCAGCAGCCGCGGUAAU